GAUGAACGCUAGCGGCAGGCUUAACACAUGCAAGUCGAGGGGCAGCGUGGAGCAGCAAUGCUCUGACGGCGACCGGCGGAAGGGUGCGUAACACGUGAGCGACUUGCCCGUCACAGGGGGAUAACCGGCGGAAACGGCGACUAAUACCCCAUACGAUGCGAUGCUGCAUGGCAUUGCAUUGAAAGAUUCAUCGGUGGCGGAUAGGCUCGCGGGACAUUAGCUAGACGGCGGGGCAACGGCCCACCGUGGCGACGAUGUCUAGGGGUUCUGAGAGGAAGGCCCCCCACACUGGGACUGAGACACGGCCCAGACUCCUACGGGAGGCAGCAGUGAGGAAUAUUGGUCAAUGGGCGGAAGCCUGAACCAGCCAUGCCGCGUGAAGGACUAAGGCCCUACGGGUCGUAAACUUCUUUAGACGCAGAGCAAUAAGGUCCACGUGUGGACCGAUGAGAGUAUGCGUAGAAUAAGCAUCGGCU
rnacentral:rRNA from 1 species